GGGAUGAAAAGAUGCCCAUUCCCGUCCCCUAAUAGGGUAAAAACCAUGGGGAUGUGGGUUUCGGGGCCCAUUGCCAUCUUGAGUCAGGAGGCAGAGAAAAGCAGAGGGACAGGCCAUAGUAGCCGGAAACGGGGAACGAUGGACCGUCCCUCGAUCCGGAUUCAUGGUCCCGGAAUCAGAUUCAAGAACGAGGAUCGAUUCGGUAAGAUUCGAUGCGGAUUCGGCGUUUCCGCAGUGGGAUUGUUGAUUCAGAUUCGUCGACUCGGCAGUCCUGGUUCGUGAAUCGAUUGGAUGAUUUAUGGAUCAACGACACAGCCCAGCCAAUUCUUGUAUAAGUACUCCCUCGUCCCUCUCCCUCCCAGUCCCAGCCAGUUGCUCCCUGCAUCCAGUGACCAGAGGCGCAUGCAGCAGCAGAAAUUCAGAUUCAAAACCAGCGAUGCUUCAGAAGACUUGAUUGCUCGAGGAUCCAAGAGUCCAGUGACAUUCAAGCAUUCGGUUUUCAGAUUCAGAGAUUGCGAUGGCGUUUGGGUCGAAACGUAAGUUAGCAGAUCGGAGUGACAUCCAGGAGGAUGACGCUGAUGAUGUUGAUCUCAUCAAUUCCGAUGAUGAGCGUAAUAGCGCUGAUGAACAAGAUGAAUCUGCCGAGCAUGGUACUGCAAAACCUGCUAAAUCCCUUCUAGAUGAGGUAUUUUUUCUUGAUGCACCUAAAGGGAAGAACUCUGGUGGACCAAGACCCUGGCGAUGCAAACAUUGUGAUAAGAAGUACACGAGUAGUUAUACAAGAAUUCAUCAGCACUUCUUUGGUGUUGGUCCUGGCAAGACGAAACAAAUUGCUCGCUCCUCUGUCGCAAGUGAUCGCGUCAAGUAUAAGAAA